rnacentral:lncRNA from 1 species
UGACGGAGGAGUCCUGCUCUGACCGCCGCACCGCCUACAAGUGCACGCAUCACAGGAUCACCUACGACUCGGCGUACCGGCAGGCGGUGGGAGACUGACUACCGGAAGAGGUUCCACUGCUGCCCUGGGUUCUACGAGAGCGGCGGCAGAUGUGUCCCUCACUGCUCCAGGGAGUGUGUCCACGGCCGCUGUGUCGCUCCGGACCGAUGCCAGUGAGAGAGGAUGGAGAGGAGAGGACUGCUCCAGUGGUACAACACACACACACACACACACACACACACACACACACACACACACACACAGAGUAACUAGUGGAG